rnacentral:tRNA from 1 species
GAGAGGUGCGGGCAGCAACGGGGACUGCUAAUCCCCAUCUCCUUGGUUAAACUCCAAGGCCCACUCG